GGCAUGAACUUGAAUGAUUUGCUUAAGUGAUUUAUCGAGGCUGUAAUUACCAAAAGAGCUUCUCCUUUUUGAACUGAAUGUGAUGAUGUUUAGGUAAAGAAAACGCCCAUGAAAGACGAGAUGAAAGAUCGAUUCAAUUCCCAGGUUUUGGCUGUAGGAGUGUUGGCAGACGUGUGGCAGUAGAACCAAACGAGUCGAUCUAAUUAAACAGUUGACUAGGAAACUUUUCUCGGAUCUUUUUGAGGACUUAAUGAAACAUUUUCAAUAAAGAAACUGUUGGCAAUGAUGACGCACACACACUGUUCGCGUGUGUGUAUCUGGUGUCAGUGGUUGGAUGAUGGAUGGGUAAAAGAGAAAGAAAACCAAAAGGAAGUAGGAGUUGUAGUCAACAAAUGUAGGAGCAGAAAAAGAAAUGUUGAAUCUGGCGAUAAAAUGAAAACCCUUUUUUCUUAUAUUGUGAUUAGACGUUGUUGUUCUUCUCAUUUUCCUUGUAUUACGUGCACGUUGUACUUUAUGUUUGCAUGAUGAAUAAGCCAACACCGGUGCGUUCGACACCCCCAGCACAUCCACAAUAAAGAAAAAGAGAAACAGGGAGUCCAUCUGCUGGUGCGACAUUGACGCAUCACCCAGUCGAACGAGAGACACGCUGGUUCACUUCGUUUUUCGUCUGGCCAGAAAAUGGAGACUCAAAGAAUAAACAAUAAAAGCAAAUAAAGGGAUUUUUAAAAUCAGAAGAGGAGGAUGUUGCAAAUCAAGAUUCGACACAGUUGUUCAUCUCGG